AGCGAACGCUGGCGGCAGGCCUAACACAUGCAAGUCGAACGAACUCUUCGGAGUUAGUGGCGGACGGGUGAGUAACACGUGGGAACGUGCCUUUUGGUUCGGAAUAACUCAGGGAAACUUGUGCUAAUACCGAAUGUGCCCUUCGGGGGAAAGAUUUAUCGCCAUUAGAGCGGCCCGCGUCUGAUUAGCUAGUUGGUGAGGUAACGGCUCACCAAGGCGACGAUCAGUAGCUGGUCUGAGAGGAUGACCAGCCACACUGGGACUGAGACACGGCCCAGACUCCUACGGGAGGCAGCAGUGGGGAAUCUUGCGCAAUGGGCGAAAGCCUGACGCAGCCAGGCCGCGUGAAUGAUGAAGGUCUUAGGAUUGUAAAAUUCUUUCACCGGGGACGAUAAUGACGGUACCCGGAGAAGAAGCCCCGGCUAACUUCGUG
rnacentral:rRNA from 1 species